ACGUUAGCGGCGGACGGGUGAGUAACACGUGGAUAACCUACCUAUAAGACUGGGAUAACUUCGGGAAACCGGAGCUAAUACCGGAUAACAUGUUGAACCGCAUGGUUCAACAGUGAAAGACGGUCUUGCUGUCACUUAUAGAUGGAUCCGCGCCGCAUUAGCUAGUUGGUAAGGUAACGGCUUACCAAGGCAACGAUGCGUAGCCGACCUGAGAGGGUGAUCGGCCACACUGGAACUGAGACACGGUCCAGACUCCUACGGGAGGCAGCAGUAGGGAAUCUUCCGCAAUGGGCGAAAGCCUGACGGAGCAACGCCGCGUGAGUGAAGAAGGUCUUCGGAUCGUAAAACUCUGUUAUUAGGGAAGAACAAAUGUGUAAGUAACUAUGCACGUCUUGACGGUACCUAAUCAGAAAGCCACGGCUAACUACGUGCCAGCAGCCGCGGUAAUACGUAGGUGGCAAGCGUUAUCCGGAAUUAUUGGGCGUAAAGCGCGCGUAGGCGGUUUUUUAAGUCUGAUGUGAAAGCCCACGGCUCAACCGUGGAGGGUCAUUGGAAACUGGAAAACUUGAGUGCAGAAGAGGAAAGUGGAAUUCCAUGUGUAGCGGUGAAAUGCGCAGAGAUAUGGAGGAACACCAGUGGCGAAGGCGACUUUCUGGUCUGUAACUGACGCUGAUGUGCGAAAGCGUGGGGAUCAAACAGGAUUAGAUACCCUGGUAGUCCACGCCGUAAACGAUGAGUGCUAAGUGUUAG
rnacentral:rRNA from 1 species